GUGAGACGCAGCAGACGGCUCAGUAACACGUGGCUAACCUACCCUCAGGACGGGGACAAACCCGGGAAACUGGGGCUAAUACCCGAUAGGCGAGGGCGCCUGGAAUGGUUCUUCACCCAAAGGGCUUUGGAAGCAUGCUUUUCAAUGUCGCCUGGGGAUGGGGCCGCGUCCGAUCAGGUUGUUGGUGAGGUAACGGCUCACCAAGCCUAUAACCGGUACGGGCCGUGAGAGCGGUAGCCCGGAGAUGGGCACUGAGACAAGGGCCCAGGCCCUACGGGGCGCAGCAGCCGCGAAAACUCCGCAAUGCACGAAAGUGUGACGGGGCUACCCCGAGUGCCGUCCGCUGAGGAUGGCUUUUCCUCGGUGUAACUAGCCGGGGGAAUAAGGAGAGGGCAAGACUGGUGUCAGCCGCCGCGGUAAUACCAGCUCUCCGAGUUGUAGGGAUGAUUAUUGGGCUUAAAGCGUCCGUAGCCGGCUUAGCAAGUCUCCUGUUAAAUUCAGCGACCUAAUCGUUGAGCCGCGGGAGAUACUACUAGGCUA
rnacentral:rRNA from 1 species